AAUUUCCACUCGAUAAUUUCCAUUUACAAGAACCCUUCAACGGUAAAUUAUGUAACCUGAAUUUUAGAUACUCUCCCACAAGCGGACAUUUUCUACAGUAAGUUUGAUAUUCCCAUACCAAGAAUAUCCACCCGUGAUUGUCUGUGGUUAAGAAUGAAAAUUCAACCUGAUAGUAUGCCGGAUAAAAAGUGCGGUGAGUAUGGUUAUUUUUAUGAUUGAUUAAUCAUUUGUUUCAAACGAACUAAGGCAUGGAGCAGUGUCGAGCUUGCGGUUGCUCCAACUCGUGGGGACUCGUUGGCGAAUGAUUACGAUUUAGUAUUUCUAUUGCGCAAGUUCACAUGUGGAUGUGAUCAAAUUUUUCUGCAAUCUCUUUAGGUCUACUUUUUGUCUCCGUAUCUCAGUCAGACAACGAUCAAGAAAGUGUAAGUAAAGGGUCAAUCAGAUGCGUUUAAUCUACCCAAUUAAUCAUGGGUUUAUAUUCGGGUGUUUGCGGGUAGUCAAACUAUGUUUGGUAUAUAUUAUUCUUACUUUGGUUGAUUUUUUAUAGAACUGCACUACAAUUAAACUGGCGUGUUCAGGAAUUGUUGUUUGUCCCGAGAUAUUGCAAGGUAAUUAUCGGAUUGAGUAUGGAUGGAUGUAUGUAUAUAUAAACGCAAGAGCAACGUGUUGAUGAAUGGCGAUUACAUUUAAUAACUACUACCCCCCCCCCUCCCUCCCUCCCGUGUCGAG
rnacentral:lncRNA from 1 species